AAAGCCAGCCACCCUGCUGGUAGGAGUUGGAGAAGCAAAGGAAGAGACAAGAUGUCAUUUCUUCUCAAAAGAAAUAAGAAAACAAAAGGCUCCGUGUGGAUGCUGUGAGCUCCCCUUCAUGUCCCCAGCACACCCAAGGGUGCUACAGAGGGCCGAAGGCCAGUACUCGAGCAUAGGUGACCCCUCGAAAAUGUCACCAGGCAGCCUGCUGUGGUGACACCCUAAGAACACAAGAUCUGCUUUCUUCACAGGAAACUGGACAGACUUCACCACCCACACACAAGUGGAGGGCUAAAAUACAGUCUUCCUCCCAGGCUGCCCUGCCUUCCAACAGCUGGCAUUUUCCCGUGCAAACACUGACCCUGAGUGGAUAUGCAGCAUUCUGCUUUUAAAUCGGGGCUCCUGGACUUUCAUCAGGGAUGAGUACGAGCUUAAUCAUCCCCAGGGCAGACGCGCAACGACUGGCACAGGAAGUUAAACUGCUACAGCUUCCGAUCAGGAUAUAGCUCUCAGCUACUUCUCCAGCAACAUGCCUGACUGCCACCCUGCUCUUCGCCAUGAUGAUAAUGGACUAAACCUCUGAAACUAUAAGCAAGUCCCUAAUUAAAUGCUUUCUUUUA